UACAGAGGUCUCAACCGUUGUUCGGAUUCAUUGGGCGUAAAGGGUGCGUAGGCGGUCGCGCAAGUCGGAUGUGAAAUCUUGGGGCUCAACCCCGAAACUGCAUUCGAUACUGCGUGGCUCGAGUACUGGAGAGGAGACUGGAAUUUACGGUGUAGCAGUGAAAUGCGUAGAUAUCGUAAGGAAGACCAGUGGCGAAGGCGAGUCUCUGGACAGUUACUGACGCUGAGGCACGAAAGCGUGGGGGAGCAAACAGG
rnacentral:rRNA from 1 species